rnacentral:lncRNA from 1 species
UGUCCAUUUUGCAGGUAGCUUAGGUAAGGAUGAUCGGAUAGCUGGGUGCUGGACGUUAGGACCACCGGUGUAGAUUUCCAUGCCUUUUGUAAACGGUAUUGUGGAUUUGUGUUUAGUUGACUCGAUUUCGCAUUAGGCCAGGACCGGUCUUGAAUUAUAUCAAUGUAUGGAUAUUUCUCGAAUCAAUAAAGUAAAUGUUUUAUAUGCGCUUCAUGAGUACUCUGAUAUUUGACGAGUCCGGUCUAACACAAAGUUAGGUCGUAGUACGGGUUGAAAAGCCUUAGGCCUCGAUCUAACAGAAAAUGCUAACUCUUGGCCGGGUUGCAAAGCCUUGUGCCUUG